rnacentral:rRNA from 1 species
GACGAACGCUGGCGGCGUGCUUAACACAUGCAAGUCGAACGGUGAAGCGCCUUCCUUUUUGGUGGGUGUGGAUGAGUGGCGAACGGGUGAGUAACACGUGAGUAACCUGCCCCCUUCUUCUGGAUAACCGCAUGAAAGUGUGGCUAAUACGGGAUAUUCUGGGUCUGUCGCAUGAUGGGUCUGGGAAAGUUUUUGUUUCGGUGGGGGAUGGGCUCGCGGCCUAUCAGCUUGUUGGUGGGGUGAUGGCCUACCAAGGCGGUGACGGGUAGCCGGCCUGAGAGGGUGGGCGGUCACAGUGGGGCUGAGACACGGACAAGACUGCGACGGGAGGCAGCAGUGGGGAAUAGUGCACAAUGGGAGCAAGCCUGAUGCAGCGACGCGGGGGGAGGGAUGGAGGCCUUCGGGUUGAGAACCUCUUUCGCCAGUGAAGCAGGCCUGACUAGUUUGUGGGUGGGUUGACGGUAGCUGGAGAAGAAGCGCCGGCUAACUACGUG